UUGACUUUAAGUGUUUUUACCAUCAAAACCAUGUCACCGUCAAAACUAAGCAACUACUUAUUGACUUGCAUCUUGCUAUCCAUAAGCUUCACCAUCUUUGAUCACUUCUUAACUAUACCUGCAAGCACAUAGAUCCACAAGUUUGUUCCUAAUUACCCCAUCAUUAAAAUAUUUUAGUGUGUGAAAGAUCACCCUAAAUAUGUCUGAGUGAACAAGUAUUGUAAAAGCUUAAGGGAUUUCUUAUAAAGUUAUACAGCUAAUUACAUACACACUAAACCAAGUUU
rnacentral:lncRNA from 1 species